GUAGCCUUGCCGGUUCGAGGUUCCUCGCCGGCGACGGCGGGGCUAAGAGGGAACGCGGUCGAUGCCGCGGCUGCCCCCGCAACUGUGAACGGCGAUCGUUCCCCAAUGCCACUGCGUGACGCGGGAAGGCGGGGAACCGGCGGAGACGCCAGACCGUGAGCCAGGAGACCUGCCUCGUCGAUCCCGUGGCGC
rnacentral:ncRNA from 18 species